UACAGAGGGGGCAAGCGUUGUUCGGAAUUACUGGGCGUAAAGGGCGCGUAGGUGGCCUUCUAAGUUGAACGUGAAAUCCCUGGGCUCAACCCAGGAACUGCGUCCAAGACUGGGAGGCUUGAAUCCGGGAGAGGGAUGCGGAAUUCCAGGUGUAGCGGUGAAAUGCGUAGAGAUCGGGAGGAACAUCCGUGGCGAAGGCGACUACCUGGACCAGCACUGACACUGAGGCACGAAAGCGUGGGGAGCAAACAGG
rnacentral:rRNA from 1 species